rnacentral:rRNA from 1 species
GCGAUACAGGGUGACAGCCCCGUACACAAAAAUGCACAUAUUGUGAGCUCGAUGAGUAGGGCGGGACACGUGGUAUCCUGUCUGAAUAUGGGGGGACCAUCCUCCAAGGCUAAAUACUCCUGACUGACCGAUAGUGAACCAGUACCGUGAGGGAAAGGCGAAAAGAACCCCGGCGAGGGGAGUGAAAAAGAACCUGAAACCGUGUACGUACAAGCAGUGGGAGCACGCUUAGGCGUGUGACUGCGUACCUUUUGUAUAAUGGGUCAGCGACUUAUAUUCUGUAGCAAGGUUAACCGAAUAGGGGAGCCGAAGGGAAACCGAGUCUUAACUGGGCGUUAAGUUGCAGGGUAUAGACCCGAAACCCGGUGAUCUAGCCAUGGGCAGGUUGAAGGUUGGGUAACACUAACUGGAGGACCGAACCGACUAAUGUUGAAAAAUUAGCGGAUGACUUGUGGCUGGGGGUGAAAGGCCAAUCAAACCGGGAGAUAGCUGGUUCUCCCCGAAAGCUAUUUAGGUAGCGCCUCGUGAAUUCAUCUCCGGGGGUAGAGCACUGUUUCGGCAAGGGGGUCAUCCCGACUUACCAACCCGAUGCAAACUGCGAAUACCGGAGAAUGUUAUCACGGGAGACACACGGCGGGUGCUAACGUCCGUCGUGAAGAGGGAAACAACCCAGACCGCCAGCUAAGGUCCCAAAGUCAUGGUUAAGUGGGAAACGAUGUGGGAAGGCCCAGACAGCCAGGAUGUUGGCUUAGAAGCAGCCAUCAUUUAAAGAAAGCGUAAUAGCUCACUGGUCGAGUCGGCCUGCGCGGAAGAUGUAACGGGGCUAAACCAUGCACCGAAGCUGCGGCAGCGACGCUUAUGCGUUGUUGGGUAGGGGAGCGUUCUGUAAGCCUGUGAAGGUGUACUGUGAGGUAUGCUGGAGGUAUCAGAAGUGCGAAUGCUGACAUAAGUAACGAUAAAGCGGGUGAAAAGCCCGCUCGCCGGAAGACCAAGGGUUCCUGUCCAACGUUAAUCGGGGCAGGGUGAGUCGACCCCUAAGGCGAGGCCGAAAGGCGUAGUCGAUGGGAAACAGGUUAAUAUUCCUGUACUUGGUGUUACUGCGAAGGGGGGACGGAGAAGGCUAUGUUGGCCGGGCGACGGUUGUCCCGGUUUAAGCGUGUAGGCUGGUUUUCCAGGCAAAUCCGGAAAAUCAAGGCUGAGGCGUGAUGACGAGGCACUACGGUGCUGAAGCAACAAAUGCCCUGCUUCCAGGAAAAGCCUCUAAGCAUCAGGUAACAUCAAAUCGUACCCCAAACCGACACAGGUGGUCAGGUAGAGAAUACCAAGGCGCUUGAGAGAACUCGGGUGAAGGAACUAGGCAAAAUGGUGCCGUAACUUCGGGAGAAGGCACGCUGAUAUGUAGGUGAAGUCCCUUGCGGAUGGAGCUGAAAUCAGUCGAAGAUACCAGCUGGCUGCAACUGUUUAUUAAAAACACAGCACUGUGCAAACACGAAAGUGGACGUAUACGGUGUGACGCCUGCCCGGUGCCGGAAGGUUAAUUGAUGGGGUUAGCGCAAGCGAAGCUCUUGAUCGAAGCCCCGGUAAACGGCGGCCGUAACUAUAACGGUCCUAAGGUAGCGAAAUUCCUUGUCGGGUAAGUUCCGACCUGCACGAAUGGCGUAAUGAUGGCCAGGCUGUCUCCACCCGAGACUCAGUGAAAUUGAACUCGCUGUGAAGAUGCAGUGUACCCGCGGCAAGACGGAAAGACCCCGUGAACCUUUACUAUAGCUUGACACUGAACAUUGAGCCUUGAUGUGUAGGAUAGGUGGGAGGCUUUGAAGUGUGGACGCCAGUCUGCAUGGAGCCGACCUUGAAAUACCACCCUUUAAUGUUUGAUGUUCUAACGUUGACCCGUAAUCCGGGUUGCGGACAGUGUCUGGUGGGUAGUUUGACUGGGGCGGUCUCCUCCUAAAGAGUAACGGAGGAGCACGAAGGUUGGCUAAUCCUGGUCGGACAUCAGGAGGUUAGUGCAAUGGCAUAAGCCAGCUUGACUGCGAGCGUGACGGCGCGAGCAGGUGCGAAAGCAGGUCAUAGUGAUCCGGUGGUUCUGAAUGGAAGGGCCAUCGCUCAACGGAUAAAAGGUACUCCGGGGAUAACAGGCUGAUACCGCCCAAGAGUUCAUAUCGACGGCGGUGUUUGGCACCUCGAUGUCGGCUCAUCACAUCCUGGGGCUGAAGUAGGUCCCAAGGGUAUGGCUGUUCGCCAUUUAAAGUGGUACGCGAGCUGGGUUUAGAACGUCGUGAGACAGUUCGGUCCCUAUCUGCCGUGGGCGCUGGAGAACUGAGGGGGGCUGCUCCUAGUACGAGAGGACCGGAGUGGACGCAUCACUGGUGUUCGGGUUGUCAUGCCAAUGGCACUGCCCGGUAGCUAAAUGCGGAAGAGAUAAGUGCUGAAAGCAUCUAAGCACGAAACUUGCCCCGAGAUGAGUUCUCCCUGACUCCUUGAGAGUCCUGAAGGAACGUUGAAGACGACGACGUUGAUAGGCCGGGUGUGUAAGCGCAGCGAUGCGUUGAGCUAACCGGUACUAAUGAACCGUGAGGCUUAACCUU